CUACGUAACACGACAGCCUGCUUCAGCUUUGCUUCCUUCCAAACCUGCCACAGUUCCACAUACAGUCUUCAAGCCACAUAUGCUCUAGUGACAAAAGCUACACAGUCCCCCAGCAAUACCAACAGUGCUGAUCCGCAGUGGCCGGGUGCCCAUUGUGUCCUUGGAGUGUGUGUCCUGCAAGGCACAGGCCGUGUACGAAGUGAGCCGCAGCUCCUACGUGUACCUGGAGGGCCGCUGCCUCAAUUGCAGCAGCGGCUCCAAGCGAGGGCGGUGGGCUGCACGUACGUUCAGCAACAAGACACUGGUGCUGGAUGAGACCACCACAUCCACGGGCAGCGCAGGCAUGUGACUGGUGCUGCGGCGGGGCGUGCUGCGGGACGGCGAGGGAUACACCUUCACGCUGACGGUGCUGGGCCGCUCUGGCGAGGAGGAGGGCUGCGCCUCCAUCCCCCUGUCCCCCAACCGCCCGCCGCUGGGGGGCUCUUGCCGCCUCUUCCCACUGGGCGCUGUGCACGCCCUCACCACCAAGGUGCACUUCGAAUGCACGGGCUGGCAUGACGCGGAGGAUGCUGGCGCCCCGCUGGUGUACGCCCUGCUGCUGCAGCGCUGUCGCCAGGGCCACUGCGAGGAGUUCUGUGUCUACAAGGGCAGCCUCUCCGGCUACGGAGCCGUGCUGCCCCCGGGUUUCAGGCCACACUUCGAGGUGGGCCUGGCCGUGGUGGUGCAGGACCAGCUGGGAGCCGCUGUGGUCGCCCUCAACAGGU
rnacentral:lncRNA from 1 species